GACACAGUGUUACAGACUGACUGCAAUCUCUUUUCCUGUUUUCAGACGGGACAGAGUUGAUUUUCUUCAUAGUGUCUGACUUUUUUUAGGAAGGUGGUCUAACUAUAAAGAACAACAAACAAGAUGUUCUACCAUCAUAUGGAAAAAAAAAAAGAGAGAGAGAGAGAGAAGAGUAGGUAAUUUGGAAUUGCAGAAAUAGAACACUGAAGUUAUCAGCUCACUACAAUAUUCAUCAAUAAUUACUCAAUAAUUACUUUUUCAUCUCAACAAUAUGCUCUUGUAUCCUAACCAAAAAAAAAAAGAUUGUGAAAAUCACUCUGGAGAGAUUCUCAUGAUGAUUGAACAGGAAAAAUUAACAACGUUUUUUGCUGUGUGUCAUUUGAAGCAUCCAAAACAGCUCUCACUCAUCAGUAGGCUAUCUAUGGAACAGGCCAGAUCAGCUGCUGCAUGGGGCCUGGCUGAAAAGGAGUUAAUUCUCUUCAUGGCAGACCCUAGGGUGCUGUGUUUUGGAUUUAUGACCAAAGCGGUGUUGCUAACACAUCAGUGUUUCAGCCACAGUUGAGCAGUGCUUACGCAUUGUUAAGGUCUCUCUGUUUCUCUCCCCACCCUGCCAGGGCAGCAAGUAGACUGGAGGUGCACAAAAGGUUUGGAGGGGAAAGAGCAAGUACAGCUAAUCCAGACUGACCAAAGGCAUAUUUCAAACGAUAUGGCUAUGACAUCAUGCUCAACAAUAAAAGCUGGAGUAAGAGUAAAGAAGGAGGAAGGUGGAGGGAACUUUUCAAGAAACAAGAAGCUGUUGCAUAUGAUGGAACCCUCCUAACCUGCAAAUGGCUGAAAAUCUACCUAUCAGAAUAUAUACUGAAUAUAUACGUAAAUACUGAAUUAAUUAUUUUUCUUUGCCAGCAUGAGCAGCUUUAAUUUUUACCUAUUAAACUUUCUAUC
rnacentral:lncRNA from 7 species